GCUGGACACGGUGGUGCAUGCCUGUAAUCUCAGUGGCUCCAGAGGCUGAGGCAGGAGGAUCGUGAGUUGCUUAGCACCUCACUUUUUGCCAGCCCCAGCAAAAAGUGAGGUGCUAAGCAACUCAGUAAGACCCUGUCUCCA
rnacentral:sRNA from 1 species